rnacentral:rRNA from 1 species
GUGUCAGCCGCCGCGGUAAUACGUAGGGUGCGAGCGUUAAUCGGAAUUACUGGGCGUAAAGCGUGCGCAGGCGGUUUGUUAAGAUAGGCGUGAAAUCCCCGGGCUCAACCUGGGAACUGCGUUUGUGACUGCAAGGCUUGAGUGCGGCAGAGGGGGAUGGAAUUCCGCGUGUAGCAGUGAAAUGCGUAGAUAUGCGGAGGAACACCGAUGGCGAAGGCAAUCCCCUGGGCCUGCACUGACGCUCAUGCACGAAAGCGUGGGGAGCAAACAGGAUUAGAUACCCUGGUAGUCCACGCCCUAA